UACAGAGGGUGCGAGCGUUGUCCGGAAUCACUGGGCGUAAAGGGCGCGUAGGUGGCGACCCAAGUCGAUGGUGAAAGCUCGCCGGCUCAACGGCGAGUCGGCCACCGAUACUGGGUUGCGUCGAGCACUGUAGAGGCUCAUGGAAUUCCGGGUGUAGCGGUGGAAUGCGUAGAGAGUCCGGAAGAACACCGGUGGCGAAGGCGGUGAGCUGG
rnacentral:rRNA from 1 species